rnacentral:rRNA from 1 species
AUUGAACGCUGGCGGCAGGCCUAACACAUGCAAGUCGAACGAGUGGCGGACGGGUGAGUAAUGUCUGGGAAACUGCCUGAUGGAGGGGUAUAACUACGGGAACCGGUAGCUAAUACCGCAUACCAUCAGAUGUGCCCAGAUGGGAUUAGCUUGUUGGUGGGGUAACGGCUCACCAAGGCGACGAUCCCUAGCUGGUCUGAGAGGCUGACCGGCCAAACUGGGACUGAGACACGGUCCAGACUCCUACGGGAGGCAGCAGUGGGGAAUAUUGCACAAUGGGCGAAAGCCUGAUACAGCAAGGCCGCGUGGAUGAAGAAGGUCUUCGGGUUGUAAAGCACUGUCGGCGGGGAGGCGUUACCCGCAGAAGAAGCAACGGCUAACUCCGUGCCAGCAGCCGCGGUAAUAC